GUCGCAACACAUAAAGUUACGCGCGUUCUUCAAAAUAACAACAUAAAUAUUAUAUUAAUAACAGUAAUCAAUUUCUUGUGGUUUCAAUUUUCUAGACACUCUGAAAAUAAAUAUGUAUAAUACUUCAAAACAAAUACAUUUUAGUUAUAUAAUAAGCGAUUCUUUUUUAUAAUAAUUCAAAAUGAACAUCACAAAAAAACAUUAAAAAACAUCCAUCAAUUGACCAUAUACAAUAGAAAAAAACAGACAAAAGGAAAAAUAAAAACUAUAUCUAAUGAGGAUAUUUCAAAUAUAACCGAGCAGUCGAAUGGAAAGCAGGUCAAGGGAACUCGAGGUUCUCCUAAAAAACAACACAUUUUCAACACAUUUUAAGUCUUUCAGAAAAAAUGUCCGGGAGGUGUUCAGCGAUGUAAAGGAUCGUGAGAUGCAAGCUGAGUUCGAGGAGUAUUUGUUUCGGG